AUGAACGCUGGCGGCGUGCUUAACACAUGCAAGUCGAACGAAGCACUUUAUUUGAUUUCCUUCGGGACUGAUUAUUUUGUGCCUGAGUGGCGGACGGGUGAGUAACGCGUGGGUAACCUGCCUUGUACAGGGGGAUAACAGUUGGAAACGGCUGCUAAUACCGCAUAAGCGCACGGCAUCGCAUGAUGCAGUGUGAAAAACUCCGGUGGUAUAAGAUGGACCCGCGUUGGAUUAGCUAGUUGGUGAGGUAACGGCCCACCAAGGCGACGAUCCAUAGCCGACCUGAGAGGGUGACCGGCCACAUUGGGACUGAGACACGGCCCAAACUCCUACGGGAGGCAGCAGUGGGGAAUAUUGCACAAUGGGCGAAAGCCUGAUGCAGCGACGCCGCGUGAGCGAAGAAGUAUUUCGGUAUGUAAAGCUCUAUCAGCAGGGAAGAUAAUGACGGUACCUGACUAAGAAGCACCGGCUAAAUACGUG
rnacentral:rRNA from 1 species